UAACGAGAUAGUACAGGGCAGUGUUGAUUGAACGUCUUCCACGGACCGUCGUGCCUAGAAAGGUGACCUCCGACCAAUGUACCCACAUUCAGUGACUGACUGAGUUACGGAGACGACAGCCAACCUGCCGUCGAGCUACUGGCCAAAUAUCCCUAAGCCGGCAAGUCUUCGCUCUCCAUCGGGUUUGUCCAUGUUAUUUUCAAGCACUUGUUCACAUAUAUGUCUUUACUUAACGCGUUUGACUAGUCGACAAUCACAGCCCUUUUAAGUACAUCAAAGAUCCUGAACACACGGCAGUCAUCAUGCUCCACGAAUUGAUCGUCAUCGAUAUUGGGUCGGAUGGAAGCCUGGUCAUAUUGGCAUCACAGAUCUACCGCGGACACCACAAGAUCCGAAAAAGCAAAGUACCGCCAACAGUAGAAAUUGUAAUGGACAUCAAGAAGACCACAUAGUGCCGUUCAUAUCCGGACAUCUCACACACAUACACGAAGCAUUACGGACCGCGUACUGUCAGAUAUUUGGUUUCUGCAGUUCGCAAUCAAAAACAUUGAACUCAGUAAAUCAACAUGGGCGGCUUCCCGCAGUCAGGAGUGUCGUAUACACGGUCUGGUUGAACUCGAUAAGAGAUAAGUAAUAGUUACGUGACGUCAUUGGUUUUAACUUGUCUGCAUUCUGAUUUGGUGGCUGUUCAAAGCGCUGAGAAAUGAGAACGCUCUUUUACCGGGUGAUGGCGCUGUUUCAAGAGAAAUGAUCCUGGUUGCCGUUUGUGCGCUAUUGAGUAGCUGAACUACGUAGAGGCGUAGGGUAUUACGUAGAGGCGCUUGUUGCAGUGACUUCAUCUCAGAAUCGAAUUGCUAUAAACCAAUAAAGAUUAGUUGUAAUUU